UCAAAAGAUUAAGGGGAAAAAAGUUCUUUGUACUUGAAAACGGGGCAUACAUUUGUGUAACAGUUGUUCCCUAUGCCAAGCUAACUGAAUCAUAAGGGACCAAAUUAGUGACCAGAGUUUAGCUAAUAGCAUGCUUUAGCCAAUAAAUUUAUUAAUCCACAUGAGAACACUGAAUUAGUUGUAGGAAUCCAAUUAACAGUGCAGAAGAGAAAAAUCUUGUAUUCCCUUUUAGUUUUUACUCAUUUUAUGUAUCUUGUUCACAAGUUUGUGUUUCGGCUAAGAACUUAUAUUGUAGUAUCACAUGGUUUAAAAUAUACUCAGUAAUAUUGUAAGACAUACAAGACUUACAAUUUUGGUAGGUACCUAGGGCGUCAUGUUCUAAGGAGGAUAUUUUAGUACUGAUAAUUACUACAAUAUAUUGUCUAGGAUUUUCUGAAAGUAGGUCGCCUGCUCUUUACAUGAUAGGAGUCAGUGCAGGACAUGAUUGGAGAAUACUUGGUUAAAGAAUAUAAAUUCUGAGAAGUCUUAAUAAAGAA